GAGUUUGAUCCUGGCUCAGAACGAACGCUGGCGGCGUGCUUAACACAGCAAGUCGAACGCGAACGGUUCCUUCGGGGACCAAGUAGAGUGGCGCACGGGAGCGUAACACGUGAGGAACCUGCCUCGGAGUGGGGGAUAACUCCGCGAAAGCGGUGCUAAUACCCGAUAAGACCACAUUCCGUUUGCGGAAAGGGGUAAAAGCUGACCUAUCCUUGGAAGUUAGCGUUUGGGGAGGGGCCCGCGUCCUAUCAGCUAGUUGGUAGGGUAAAAGCCUACCAAGGCUACGACGGGUAGCUGGUCUGAGAGGAUGAUCAGCCACACUGGAACUGGAACACGGUCCAGACUCCUACGGGAGGCAGCAGUGAGGAAUUUUGCGCAAUGGGCGAAAGCCUGACGCAGCAACGCCGCGUGGGGGAUGAAGGCCUUCGGGUUGUAAACCCCUUUCAGGAGGGAAGAAAUAGACGGUACCUCCAGAAGAAGCACCGGCCAACUACGUGCCAGCAGCCGCGGUAAUAC
rnacentral:rRNA from 1 species